GAUUAGGUAGUUGGUGGGGUAACGGCCCACCAAGCCUAAGAUCCGUACGGGCUGUGGGAGCAGGAGCCCGGAGAUGGACCCUGAGACAAGGGUCCAGGCCCUACGGGGCGCAGCAGGCGCGAAACCUCCGCAAUGCGGGAAACCGCGACGGGGUUAGCCGGAGUGCCCGUGCAUUGCACGGGCUGUCGGGGUGCCUAAACAGCACCCCAUAGCAAGGGCCGGGCAAGGCCGGUGGCAGCCGCCGCGGUGAGACCGGCGGCCCGAGUGGCGGCCACUCUUAUUGGGCCUAAAGCGUCCGUAGCCGGCCCAGUAAGUCCCCCGGGAAAUCUGGUCGCUUAACGAUCAGACUUCCGGGGGAUACUGCUGGGCUAGGGACCGGGAGAGGCCGAGGGUAUUCCCGGGGUAGGGGUGAAAUCCUGUAAUCCCGGGAGGACCACCUGUGGCGAAGGCGCUCGGCUGGAACGGGUCCGACGGUGAGGGACGAAGGCCUGGGGAGCGAACCGGAUUAGAUACCCGGGUAGUCCAGGCUGUAAACGAUGCGGGCUAGGUGUCACCGGAGCUACGAGCUCCGGUGGUGCCGGAGGGAAGCCGUUAAGCCCGCCGCCUGGGAAGUACGGCCGCAAGGCUGAAACUUAAAGGAAUUGACGG
rnacentral:rRNA from 1 species